rnacentral:rRNA from 1 species
UACGGAGGAUCCAAGCGUUAUCCGGAAUCAUUGGGUUUAAAGGGUCCGUAGGCGGCCUUAUAAGUCAGUGGUGAAAUCUCAACGGCUCAACCGUGAAAUGGCCAUUGAUACUGUAGGGCUUGAAUUAUUGUGAAGUAACUAGAAUAUGUAGUGUAGCGGUGAAAUGCUUAGAUAUUACAUGGAAUACCCAUUGCGAAGGCAGGUUACUAACAAUAUAUUGACGCUGAUGGACGAAAGCGUGGGGAGCGAACAGG